CACACUGUGGGGAAUCUUUUUCACCGUAAAAGCGCCAGCCUGGAAGCAAACAGUGCUGGAACAGGCCAUUAAACAUGUGACGAGUGGCCUCUGUGCUAGCUAGCGCAAGCGGAUUUGGGGAUCAGAACACGAGCUAUCAGGACAAAACAUCAAAGACUUCUGCAGAGAUCCGCCAUAGGAUGGGCCCCAUGGCAGCUCUCCACCACUGCAAUCCAUUUCAGAGGGUAUAGGAAUCAAGCCCAUGCACCGAAUUAGUUGUGAAUCUGUGUGAGAGAGCAGUGUACACAUGUUAGACACGACCCCUGCAGGUUUCUCUGGAUGACAACAUAGGCGUGUGCAGUGAAUACUUUCUCUGAUGGAGUCGGGUGAGCCAUGAGGUGGAGAGCUGCAGAGAAAAGUCGAGUAAGAACCUCGAUUUGUUAACGCAACAAUGAACCUUCAACCUCAAAUGUAAUGUCUUUUAUAUCCCUUUUGUUACAUUUCUAUGACGACAGUAUAUUAAAACAAUGUGGAUUUGUCACUUGUAGAGUUCAGUAUCUGCCCCACAAUAUGGGAAUGUUACAUCCAAAUAAAGUUGUUUAAUCCUUCACCACACAAAAUGUGUAUGUGUGGCUUGUAGUCAUAAGAUUUUCAUUCAUAGUGCAGAAAAAAACAUACAAAGAAAUUGUGUUGGCUGAGUAAUUCCCAAUAAAGACCAUUAUAUUUCUACUUGAUCUGGCAGAGCUUUCUCAAAACCCCCAACUUCUGCAAAGCCCCAUGUGGCCUAUUAGAAAAACAUCUCAAAUAGUUUAAGGUGCUUUAUUCGCCCCCCUCACAACUGAGACAGCGGGUGUACAGCCUCUGAUUCAUGAAAAACAGCAAGAGGUAGCUCAGGAAAGGAAUUAUUAGGGGGGGGGGGGACAAAAACUCUUUUUUUUCUUUUAAACCAAAGGUUACAGGAGGCAACAGCACAACUGAAACUGGAGCGAAGAGGGUGAACAAAAUCCUUAACAACAAAAAUAUUCAACAGAAAUACUCUAAUUGAGCCUAGAUAACCUAGAUUCUUAAACACUGUGGUGACCUGGAGUGGUCUGCUGGAGCAGCAGCAUCUCAACAGCUAACAGGAAGAGACUCGACAGACUGAUAUGGAAGGCCAGCUCUGUCCUGGGUUUGCCCCUUGGACACAGUGCAGGUGGUGGGAGAGAGGAGGAUGGUAGCAAAGCUAUCAUCAGUGGUGGACAAUGACUCCCACCCCAUGGAAGGAGCAGUAUUG